rnacentral:rRNA from 1 species
CGCGUAGGCGGUUUGUACAGUUGGGCGUGAAAUUCCUGGGCUUAACCUGGGGGCUGCGUUCAAUACGUGCGGACUUGAGUUUGGAAGAGGGUCGUGGAAUUCCCAGUGUAGAGGUGAAAUUCGUAGAUAUUGGGAAGAACACCGGUGGCGAAGGCGGCGACCUGGUCCUGGACUGACGCUGAGGCGCGAAAGCGUGGGGAGCAAACAGGAUUAGAUACCCUGGUAGUCCACGCUGUAAACGAUGUGCGCUGGAUGUUGGGCGACCUAGUCGCUCAGUGUCGUAGCUAACGCGAUAAGCGCACCGCCUGGGGAGUACGGCCGCAAGGUUGAA